rnacentral:lncRNA from 1 species
UCAAUUAAAAAAACAACAGACAAGUACUGGACGGAAGAAAUGAACUUGAAAAAGACACCUGUGCUGAAUCUUUGAUGACUAAGACCUGUAAUGAAGAAGGAGAAAUGAGAGAAGACUGCACAGAACAGGAAAUCAGAGAUGGUGGUUCUCUCAGAAUGGUUCACUUUGGCUUGGUGUAAACAAUAAAAAACUUUCUUUUUACUUAAAAAAAGAAACA